rnacentral:tRNA from 1 species
GGGCUGUAGCUCAGUUGGGAGAGCGGUAGCUUUGCAAGCUUCAGGUCGUCGGUUCGAUCCAGCCCACCA